AUGGUUGGCUUGCCUAGCUUUCACUAGUAGGCGUCAUCGCGACUCCCGAGGGUGGGAAAUCCGGGUCGUGACAUCGGCUCACACGAUAUUAACUCAAUUUUUUAAGGGGGAAGGCUCAUCAAGGUAGCUUGCUGCCUGGGCCUUCACGCGUUGCUCUGGUCUUGCACUAUUGCUUAGGCCUGGCGCACUCCAC
rnacentral:snRNA from 1 species